rnacentral:lncRNA from 1 species
GCUAAUGGCAUACUUACAUACAAAAACGGAGCUGACUAAUAACACAUUGAAUAAACAAUGUUGCAUUUUUCUUUAUAUAUUUCUUUUGUGUUAAAACAUUUUUCCUACUUUUUUAUAUCAGUGUUCGAUACAAAACAAUAAUAAUAACGAUCCGAGAAGAUAUCAUUCAUACAUAGUUCAUAAAGAAAAGAAAAAAAAAAUUGAAGAUGUGAUUUUCUAUAAAUAAAAUUGAGUAAAAACAAGAAUAUGUCCACUUCAAAUGAUUGUAAUAUUAGAAAACAUUCUAUAAAUUCG